GAUGAACGCUAGCUACAGGCUUAACACAUGCAAGUCGAGGGGAAACGACAUCGAAAGCUUGCUUUUGAUGGGCGUCGACCGGCGCACGGGUGAGUAACGCGUAUCCAACCUGCCCACCACUUGGGGAUAAUCUUGCGAAAGUAAGACUAAUACCCAAUGAUAUCUCUAGAAGGCAUCAGAAAGAGAUUAAAGAUUUAUCGGUGAUGGAUGGGGAUGCGUCUGAUUAGCUUGUUGGCGGGGUAACGGCCCACCAAGGCUACGAUCAGUAGGGGUUCUGAGAGGAAGGUCCCCCACAUUGGAACUGAGACACGGUCCAAACUCCUACGGGAGGCAGCAGUGAGGAAUAUUGGUCAAUGGACGGGAGUCUGAACCAGCCAAGUAGCGUGCAGGAUGACGGCCCUAUGGGUUGUAAACUGCUUUUAUAAGGGAAUAAAGUGAGUCUCGUGAGACUUUUUGCAUGUACCUUAUGAAUAAGGACCGGCUAAUUCCGUGCCAGCCGCCGCGGUAA
rnacentral:rRNA from 1 species